AGAGUUUGAUCCUGGCUCAGAUUGAACGCUGGCGGCAUGCCUUACACAUGCAAGUCGAACGGCAGCACGGAGCUUGCUCUGGUGGCGAGUGGCGAACGGGUGAGUAAUAUAUCGGAACGUACCCUAGAGUGGGGGAUAACGUAGCGAAAGUUACGCUAAUACCGCAUACGAUCUAAGGAUGAAAGUGGGGGAUCGCAAGACCUCAUGCUCGUGGAGCGGCCGAUAUCUGAUUAGCUAGUUGGUAGGGUAAAAGCCUACCAAGGCAUCGAUCAGUAGCUGGUCUGAGAGGACGACCAGCCACACUGGAACUGAGACACGGUCCAGACUCCUACGGGAGGCAGCAGUGGGGAAUUUUGGACAAUGGGCGAAAGCCUGAUCCAGCAAUGCCGCGUGAGUGAAGAAGGCCUUCGGGUUGUAAAGCUCUUUUGUCAGGGAAGAAACGGUGAGAGCUAAUAUCUCUUGCUAAUGACGGUACCUGAAGAAUAAGCACCGGCUAACUACGUGCCAGCAGCCGCGGUAAUACGUAGGGUGCAAGCGUUAAUCGGAAUUACUGGGCGUAAAGCGUGCGCAGGCGGUUUUGUAAGUCUGAUGUGAAAUCCCCGGGCUCAACCUGGGAAUUGCAUUGGAGACUGCAAGGCUAGAAUCUGGCAGAGGGGGGUAGAAUUCCACGUGUAGCAGUGAAAUGCGUAGAUAUGUGGAGGAACACCGAUGGCGAAGGCAGCCCCCUGGGUCAAGAUUGACGCUCAUGCACGAAAGCGUGGGGAGCAAA
rnacentral:rRNA from 1 species